CCUUAACACAGGACAGACAAGUUAUUGCCCUGGGCUCCUUCCUCCAAGCACUAUCUCAUGCUCCAAAAUCCCACACCCACACCCCCCAUGCCCAUGCCACACACAUGCACACAAAUAGAAACUUAAGUAGGAAUGUCCAGGUUAGACAUGUACCUUUUAUUCUGGCUAAGUACAGGAAGAUUGGCAAGAGACCUGGGAAGAGGGGGCUUCUAGAUGCCAUCCCAGAUCUAAACUUCUAAAGAAAAAAAAGAGGAAUCUAAACUUCUGUUUAGUUUCAAGUUGUAAGAGAGCUGCAUGCCUGCAUCCUUUUUUGGCUCUCUUUAGUUCGAGUCCUGGAGAAAGGAACCAAACAAAGUGACAUAUCAUGCUUAACAAGGAUGCCAUACUAUGAUUCAGUGUGAUAAAAAUGCAUUAAGGCACCAGUACUUAACAACCACAAAUGCAUGCACAGUACUUUGGUAACACCUAACAGGUUAUGUUGGAAGACAGACUUCUCCUCUUCUAGUUAUUUUGGAAGUAAACAAGAAGGCAGACUUCUCAUUUUCCUACUCACCCUAUGCUACACUUCCCAGUUCCUGGCCCAUGAAGUAAGGAAAUCAAAUGUGUGCAAAAUUAAAGAAUUCCAUGAUAACUAUGUUAUUUUCCAUUUGCAUGUGCAUUUGUCUAUCGAUCCCUAAAAUAUAUCUUAAAUUAGUCUGCUUUUCUCCACUUUUCCCCCUCCAUUUUAUUUUUAUUUAUUUAUUUAUUUUGAGACAAGGUCUAGCACUGUCGCCCAGGCUGGAGUGCAGUAACACAAUCAUGGCUCUCUGCAGCCUUGACCUUCCAGGCUUAAAUGAUCCUCCUGCCUUAGCCUCACGAGUAGCUGGGACUACAGGUGUGCACCACUAUGUCCGGCUAAUUUUUGUAUUUUUACUAGAGACGUGGUUUCCCCAUGUUGCCCAGGCUGGUCUCAAACUACUGGGCUCAAGCAAUUGGCCCACCUCAGUCUCCCAAAGCGUUGGAAUUACAGGCAUGAGCCACCGCACUCAGCUCCUGCUCCAUUAAAAAAAAUAAAACAAACAAACAAAAAAAAACGAAUGGCAGGUCUCGAUUGGAGGUGACUACCAGCAUGGAUUUUUUCUCUCUUUUCUCUUUCUUUCUUUCUUUCUUUUUCUUUCUUUCUUUCUUUCUCUUUCUCUCUCUCUCUCUUUCCUCCCUCCCUCCCUCUCUCUCUCUCUCUUUCUUUCUUUCUUUCUUUUUUUAGAUGGAGUCUCACUCUGUCACCCAGGCUGGAGUGCAGUGGCGUGAUCUCAGAUCACUGCAACCUCCGCCUGCUGGGUUCAAGCAAUUCUCCUGCCUCAGCCUCCCGAGUAGCUGGGACUACAGGUACCCGCCACCACGCCCAGCUAAUUUUUUGUAUUUUUAGUAGAGACGGGGUUUCACCAUGCUGCCCAGGCUCGUCUCAAACUCCUGACCUCGUGAUCCACCCGCCUUGGCCUCCCAAAGUGCUGGGAUUACAGGUGUGAGCCACCGAGCCCGGCCAUCUUUUUUGUUUGUUUGUUUGAUAUUUUUAGACAGGCUGGAGAGCACUGGUGUGAUUAUGGCUUACCGCAGCCUUGACCUCCUGGGCUCAAGCAAUCCUCCCGCCUCAGCUUCCAAAGUGGCUGGGAACAGAAGUGCAGGCCACUACACCUAGCUAAUUUUUAUACUUUUUGUGGAGACGUGGUUUUGCUAUGUUGCCCAGGCUGGUCUUGAACUCCUGGCCUCAAGUGAUCCUCCUGCUUUGGCCUCCCAAAGUGCUGGGAGUAUAGGCGUGAGCCACCACACCCAGUUGGAAUUUUUUGCUAUACACAGUGCUGCCUUUUUUUUUCUUUCUUUUUUUUCUUUCCUCCAUGACAGAGGCUUUGAAUGUGGAAAUGACCUCCUAAAGCUGUCACACUGGAAUCCUACUGUAAAAAUGAUUUGCUUUUUCCUAUAUGUCCUUGGUCAUUGCUAAAAAAUAUAACAAUUUAUUAUUUAUCUUUAUUUUUAAGAUUUUGGUUUGUUCUCCCAACACUGAUGCUAAAGGUGUUUUGAAAUACAGUGGGCACACAGUCUCAGAAGGAAUAUGUCCAAAACUUCAGAAAAAUACCAACAGUGAGAACUUGCAAAACAUCUUAGCCACUGACAGCUUAAACACAGUCUAUUAAUAAGGAAGUGUUGCCAGCCCUUUAAAGCUGACAUUUGUUACAACAUUUAUUUUUCGUAAUCUUUUUUUUUUUUUUUUUUGAGACGUAGUCUCGCUCUGUCGCCCUGGCUAGAGUGCAGUGGCGCGAUCUCGGCUCACUGCAAGCUCUGCCUCCCGGGUUCACGCCAUUCUCCUGCCUCAGCCUCCCGAAUAGCUGGGACUACAGGCGCCUCUGCCACCGCGCCCAGCUAAUUUUUUUUGUAUUUUUAGUAGAGACCGGGUUUCACCGUGUUAGCCAGGAUGGUCUCGAUCUCCUGACCUCGUGAUCCGCCCGCCUUGGCCUUCCAAAGUGCUGGGAUUACAGGCUUGAGCCACCGCGCCCGGCUUAUUUUUCGUAAUCUUAAUGUUUCUUUUAAUCACAAAAGUAGUUACAUAAAUGCUGUAGAAAAAUUUAAAAUACAGCUAAGCAAAAGAAGAAAAAUAAAAUAUUUCUACCAUCCAGAGAUUAUAGAUAAAAACACUUGAGUGGGUAUCCUUCUACAUGUUAUUCUAUACACAUUUAUUUAUUCAUUUUUUAAUCUAAAUGAGAACACAUGGCUGGGCACAAUGGCUCAUGCCUAUAAACCUAACACUUUGGGAGGGCGAAGCAGGAGGAUUGCUUGAGCCCAGGAGUUUGAGACCAGCCUGGGCAACAUAGCGGGACCCUAUCUUAUUAAAACAAACAAAAAAAACCAAAACCAAACCAAAACCAAAUGGGCGUACACUGUGCAUAUUGCUUUGUAACAUACUUUUUUUCAGCUAACAAUCUUUCUGUUUUCACAUUUUCUUACAUUAUACUUUCUUUUCUCUUUUUUUUUUUUUUUUUUUUUGAGACAGAGUCUCGCUCUGUCACCCAGGCUGGAGGGCAGUGGUGCGAUCUCGGCUCACUGCAAGCUCCGCCCCCUGGGUUCACGCCAUUCUCCUGCCUCAGCCUCCCGAGUAGCUGGGAAUACAGGCGCCGCCACUACGCCCGGCUAAUUGUUUGUAUAUUUAGUAGAGACGGGGUUUCACCGUGUUAGCCAGGAUGGUCUCGAUCUCCUGACCUCGUGAUCCACCCGCCUCGGCCUCCCAAAGUGCUGGGAUUAGAGGCGUGAGCCACCAAGACCGGCCGUGAUUGUGGUUUUUGCCAUUGUUUUUUAAUGACAAAAACCAUAAUUGCUUUUGCACCAGCCUAAUAGUUAUCCAAGUGAUUAGUUUAAGAUCAUCCCCUGGUUCUGGCCAUUUU
rnacentral:lncRNA from 1 species